rnacentral:rRNA from 1 species
AUACGUAGGGUGCGAGCGUUGUCCGGAAUUACUGGGCGUAAAGAGCUCGUAGGUGGUUUGUCGCGUCGUCUGUGAAAUUCCGGGGCUUAACUCCGGGCGUGCAGGCGAUACGGGCAUAACUUGAGUACUGUAGGGGGGACUGGAAUUCCUGGUGUAGCGGUGAAAUGCGCAGAUAUCAGGAGGAACACCGGUGGCGAAGGCGGGUCUCUGGGCAGUAACUGACGCUGAGGAGCGAAAGCAUGGGUAGCGAACAGGAUUAGAUACCCUGGUAGUCCAUGCCGUAAACGGUGGGCGCUAGGUGUAGGGGUCUUCCACGACUUCUGUGCCGUAGCUAACGCAUUAAGCGCCCCGCCUGGGGAGUACGGCCGCAAGGCUAAAACUCAAAUGAAUUGACGGGG